rnacentral:tRNA from 1 species
GGGAAAGUGGCUUAAUGGUAAAGUGCUUGCCUUGUAUGCAUGAAGCCUUGGGUUUGAUUCCUUAGUACCA